rnacentral:rRNA from 1 species
GAUUAACGCUGGCGGCGUGCAUAACACAUGCCAGUCGAACGAUGAAACUUUACUGACUUCUUCGGAAUGAUUUAAAGCGGAUUAGUGGCGAACGGGUGAGUAACGCGUGAGUAACCUGCCUUACACAAGGGGAUAGCCUCUGGAAACGGAGAAUAAUACCCUAUGAAACCAGACAAUCGCAUGAUAAUCUGGUCAAAAUGUUUAGUGGUGUAAGAUGGACUUGCGUCUGAUUAGCUAGUUGGUGAGAUAAAAGCUCACCAAGGCAACGAUCAGUAGCCGGCUUGAGAGAGUGUACGGCCACAUUGGGACUGAGACACGGCCCAGACUCCUACGGGAGGCAGCAGUGGGGAAUUUUGCACAAUGGGGGAAACCCUGAUGCAGCGACGCCGCGUGAUUUAGAAGGCCUUCGGGUUGUAAAAAUCUUUUGUAUAGGAAGAAAAUGACAGUACUAUACGAAUAAGGUCCGGCUAAUUACGU